AGGUUUUGAUUUCUCUGUUUGGGAGUAACCUCAAGCACUGAACUGAGCUGCAGGAGCCUGGAGUCUGCAGCCAAACCUUUUCUGCUAUAAUCCCAUCUGGGUUUCCUCACCAUAGCAGGCAGACACCAAUCCCAUUAUGGCUCCAGAUAAUCCAGUCUCAGAUGUGGUCCCAUGCUUUCUGAUGCCUUAAUCCUAUUGCUCUGGAGCCUGCUUAAUGGGGAAGCUGCUCACCUUCCUCUCCUCUGUCUGAGAGACACCUUCCAUUUCCCAGAGCAAGGAGCAGGCAGGGAAAGGGGAUCUGGUUCCCAGACACAUUUAGCAGGCAACUGCAAGGUGAUCCAGAGGAACUGCUUUGGAAAGGGCACAGUGGGCAGAAGAGCAAAGUCAGCCCAUCCUCACACCCUGGCUUUUGGAUGGAAGGCUGGUGUGUGGGAAAGCACCCAGCUGCAGUGGGCAAAGAGAAAGCAACUACCCUGUGCUGUGCUGCAACCCUGCUGCCAUCCUCCUUGUUAGUGAGCAGGAGUCCCCAUCCUGGGGCCAGAGCAGAGCACGACCUGAGUUGGGUCCCCCUCUGAGUAGCUUGAGGCACAGUCAUGCCUCCUGCUGGUGCUUACACUUACACACAGGUGUUUACAUUUGUAUUUCCAGGGAAGCAGGGUUGGAAAUGUUGACCCUGAGGGUGCAGAUGCACCUUUACUCUACUAAGGGUUACUUGAGUGGUUUUCUUGGGUGCCUGGUGAGCAUCCUGCUGCUCAAAACUCUCCCCUGGGAUGGGUUGUCUCUGCAAGGGAUCCACCUUAUCUCAGCCAGGGGGUGCUGGCUGCACCUUCUGGUGCUUUUUCCAGGGCUUGCUGGGUUGCUGCCAGCCCAUGGAGGACUCUGAUCCUCCUCUGUGGUUGUAAAAGCUAUUCAUUCAUGAACGAGCUGUUCCUGGGAGGCAUGCAGUCAAGUGGUAUGUUCCUCUGGGGACAGGAGCCAUGCCUGACUGACAGCCUGUGCUCUCUUGCUGGCUUUCCACCACCAUUCUCAGAAAGGCCAGUGGGGCUUGGAUGCUGCCAUGCCCCACAGCUUCCCAGUGCCAGCCUUUACCCCCUCCUGAAUUUGGGAGCGAAAGCACAGAUGUUCAGCUCCUUGGAGCCAGACAACAGAGAAACAAUCUGUUCCUGUUCCUCUUCAUGCUUCCUUGGGCUGACUCUAAGGGUAGAUUCAGUCACCCUGGGCCUGGACAGGAAGGAGAGAAAUGAAGUGUGCCACAUUGCCUGAGAAGAGCUAUGUCUUUUCUGCACCAUCCAUCACACUGCCUCCCGUUCCCCAGUGGGGCCAAGGCCACGGAGGAGCGAGGACUGCAAGGUGGUGAGUUCAGUGCAGGCUUCCAGCAGAUGCUACUGCUUUCUUUCCCAUCAGCUUUUCCUGCGGGUUCUGAGCCCUGCAGAGCUCUGGGUGGGUGGCUCUGCUACAGCCAUCUUCUGAGCCUGAAGUUUGAGAGGGAGGCAGAGAGUGCUGCUCCCCUAAGGUGAAAUGCUCAGAUAUUAAUUUUCUGAACUUCUCCAUAAGCUAUUGAAGAUUAAUUUUAGGGAAAGCCGGGGGAUAUGAUGGAUUGGAGCCCAAGCCUGCUUAAAUAUGCAAUAUUAAAAAUGGAUGGUUGUCUCUCCUUGUCAUACACCCUGCCCCCGUGUCUGGGGCAAGCCCGCGCUGUGACGAAAAGCCAGGGAGAGACUCAGUAAGCCUCGUGCCCAGCUGAGUGCAAAUUUUAAUAACUUCUGUUGCCACUAUUCUUUGUUAAAUCACCUUUAUGAGUUUA